UUCGCUUUUGGAUACCAUGAAAAGGCAUUGGUAUGAAUUUUAGUUUAUCUCAUAAACAUAAAAACUUCUUACAUUUGCUGUAAUGCCAUAAUAAGCUGCCAAAUGCCAUGAUUGACAGCUCUGUGUGCAGUGCUCUGUUAACCCAAGAGUGAUUGUCCCGUUUGUUUCUUACCAGCAAGUAAAAAGUGUGUUCAGAUCAUCAGUACUAUGGGUCUGAGAGACACUCUGUACUGGUCAGACUCUUGGCUUCAUUGGCAUCACCAGCCCAAGAUGUGAGGGCUGCUUUGGCUUCAUCUUUGUACCACAAAACAGUCAGGCUCUCGUUGUUAUGUGGCGUCAAAUGACAGCUUGUGUCUGUAUGUUUUUGCAUAUAUUCAUCUUCUACAUCCACACUACUCACGUGACCUUCGGAGUCGUCUCAAUUGGGUUAAUCGGCCUUGAAAACAAACUGGAGGAAAAAGGAACAGUGGGCGAGGAGCGGGAAGAAGCAGCCUUUGUUUACACACCUUUCUGCAGCAACAGCAACAAAACAAACCUGGUUUGGUUUUGUUGUUGCAGCUCCACACCGUGUGGAUACGUGGUGACAUCUGUUCAGGAAUCCCUGCUCAUACACCUGAAAGGCUUUGGCGCUCAUCUGAAAUAGAGAGAUUAAUAAAUGUCCUCUGACUGCUUUGUGAUUAAAAAAAAGACACGCCAGAUGUGUGUGUGUGUGCAUGCAUCCCCAUUGCCACAAUAUGCUGUGCGUUAUCUCCACACAGCCACCUGUUUAUAUGAAGGGAGUCAACAAACGUCAUAUGAAUUCCAAUAAAGCGCACCCUCAGAGUGCACACACUUCAUUAUCAUGGAGCUAGAGACUGUUCACUGUAAUCUAAAUCCCUUAUUUAAAAACUGUGUGUGUGUGUGUAAGAGAGACAGGAGGACAGCAGUGAGGGGGGAGAUUAAAACUGACAUAUUUUAGUGGUUUUAGGGGCAGUGUGCAGAGAGGGGUUAAGAUAGUGGGUCCUUGAUGUGAGCACAGGAUUGAUUGCUGGGUUAAUUAGCGAGAACCGUGCUCGUCAUUGAAGUGAAGGGUAGAUCAGAGGUUUGUCAGAUUGAGGGAAAAACACUGACAGGACACUUCAAUUCGAGUCCUGGACUUGUGGUCGUGGUCUUCUCUUAAAAGCCCUCCUGUAUGUGGGACACCUGUGUCAUUUCAGCAGCUGUCUGAAGUUUAACAACAUUUUCCACAAAAAAAGGACAAGUCUGUUCAUCUGCACUCAAAAUAGUUGUAGAUUCACCUCACGUGCUGCUCCCAUUUUCUGUACGGAAAUAAGACUUUUCAAACUGUUGAGAAUUAAAGCCGCUAAUCCCAGGGAUUAAUACAAUUGAGUUUGCUGGAUUUUGGUAAUGCCCUGCUUCCUAAGCUUUGCCCAUUAGGCACCUGCUGCUGUCACACUCGGCUGCCCUCGCAGGAAAUUGCCUGGUUUUACGAGCGAGGGCGUUUGAAAUGCAACACAGAAAAACCGUUCAAACACUCGGACGCCGAACAAAGACAGAAGGUGAAUUUUUGCUGUUCUUGUCCUUCGGCUUCAUGAGACCAAUUACCAGUUCCAGUGUGUGUUUGUCUGCGUGUGUGCGUGAAUCCGUCACUGUGUGUCUGCAGGCAGGUGCGUCAGCAGACCCUGACAGUCAGAUUUCAUGCACCACAGGCUGUGUUACAAACAUUCACACUCAGUCUUGGAGUAGAGACGAUGAUUGGCCCUGCGGCUUCUCCACGAAGCUUUCGCAAACAUUUGAUGAUUUCGAGGAACCUAUUGCGAGGGGGGGCCUCUGGCCAAAGAUUAGCAUGCCUCCUCACCUCACCUCCUUAUAGCAUCAGAAACAGCUACAGGGAUUGUGCUGGCUGUCAGUUUAGAUCCUGUUAGCAUGGUGGGACAGAGACUAACUCACCAGGUAACAGAAGCUCAGAUUGAUUUUUAGACAUUACUUAAAGGGAUAUUCAGGCGUAAAAUUAAGUUAGGGUCAAACGCACUGUAACACCAAGUUAGAUAUCCCGUCGAGAGAUGAAUGUUGCUCACUGCUUGCUUCUCUAGUGUAGCAAUCAAGACAACCCUGUGGGUGAAACUCACACAUUCCUUGCAGGAAAGGUUUCUUAUCUGGUCCCAGGACACAGUUUCAGACUUGUUUGCCCUUUCAGGUUACCUAACUGACCCCACCGGAGGUUGACUGAAAUCUCUGGCAUGAUUGGUCAAUUCGGAGAACAGAGACAGAGUUUUAUUACCUUUCAAACUGACUCCACCGCUGACCAUCUAAAUAAUCAUUCAUGACUCAAUCCAGGUCUCCCAUUUAAGAUUUACUGUCUUAGAAUGUGUGAACACACAGACCUCAAGAAAAGGUCUGAGGAGCAGCACACUGACCUCCAGACCUCGGUCGUAAAAUCUUGCUCAACCAUACUCUGAUAAGAGCUGCAUACCUUUGGAGAAAGAAUACAAAUGACUGAUAAUGACAUCUUAUGCAUUCAGCAAUGUACUAAUCUGUCUAAUCAUGAAAUUUGUGUUAAAAUGAGAUGUUUCCCGUUUUUCUAUGUGUUCCAGACGCCAAGUUAUCACUCUGACAGAAUAAAUCCUUUAUUCUUAAGUUUCUUUAGUCCAACAGCUUGGACUGUUUGUCCAACAGUUUGCCUGAGACCAAACACAACUCACCUACUCUCUUCCAGCAGCCGUUUGUUUGUACGGAGACCCCAGAUGAGUCUAUUACCGACUGCAUUGGGGUGACGCAGCUCAAGGAAGAACAUUUAUGAUUAUUACUUCAUGGAAAUGCAAUCAGACCAAGACGCUAAGGCAGAGGAACUACCGUGUCUGCAGUGCAAAAUGAUUAAUAUGGUGAUUAUUACUUCAAGAAAAUGAUAAAGUAAUGAUCACAAAUGUUCUUCCUUGAGCUGUGUCACCCUGCAGCAGUCCGUAAUGAACUGGCCUGAGGUCUCCCUACAAACAAGCGGCUGCUGGAAGAGAGUGGGUGAGUUGUGUUUAGUCCCUUUGCUAAAGAUAUCAGGCAAAGCUUAAAGAUGUUUGGUGGCUAGUGCCAUGACUGGGACCCUAUAUGUGCUGUUGAUGAAGUUAGGUGCUGUUCUGAGCAUCAUUUAUAGCUAUAGAGUGGCUUUUUGGUUGAGCGCAUGGCUCCCGACACCACUGUGUAUUGCUAUUGUGCGGUUGUUACUAAAGGUGGUAUAACUAGAGAAGCAAGCGGUCGUUAACAUUCAUCUCUCGACAGGGUGUCUAACUUGGUGUUACAGUGUUUUGGACCCUAACUUAAUUUUACGUCUGAAUAUUCCUUUAACAAUUGGAUACAAGGAUACCACAUGUUGCUCCUUUUCCUUGUAGCCCUCACUGAACCCUUUUUAAGAAAGAGCAUGGACUUGCUCAUGUAUGUUUGUUUGUUCUCUGUGUGGGGACAUUUUCAUCCUGCUUUUAAAAUGAACGAGUUUCAGAUGAAAUAACAGAGGCUGCCUUCAAACAAACAAGUAUAAAGAGGGGGCCAAUAGAGAUUUUGCAGUGGCAAGGACACAGUUUUAUUCAUACAAGGCUGUGUCAAGCACAGCCAACACCACUGGAGCACAGACUUGUUUCAGCUGUCACGCUCUGCACAAUGUAGCAGCAGAGGUAAACAGCAGCAGCAUUUAAAUACAAAUGCAAUUUUAUGGGUGUGCAGGGAUUUUUGAUGUGAAGAUUCCUCUAGUAUCAGCCCAAACUUUAAUUUAUACUGAGGCGGAAGGCAGAGAAAAUCAAGGUUUGCUAGAUGUUGACUCUUCAGAUGAUCCAUGUACAUUCAUUACACUCUUCAAAUAUUUCCUCAUGGUCUACCACUUACUAUUGCACUGUAUAAAAAAUCCUCCCAAGACAAACAGCCAGAGUUUGCACUGCUGUGUCAUACAAGGUGCUGCGUCAGUCUACAGUCUACAGUCUUUAGUCUGUAACCAGCUGGUUCCCCAAGUAUGAAUAAGAUUUAAAGCCAAGCUGCAGAGAGCACAACACUCAGCUACUCAUUGCUCAGUGACUACAACUACAGAAACCAAUUUUCUAGCCCCUGCUAAUGCCAGAAACUAUAACAACUUAUACUGUAUUGGUAAUAUCCUGUCAAAAUGAGUUAAAUAAAAAAUCCUGGCAUUACAAGUACCAUUAAUAGUCGAGUUUUAGGAAUUAGCAACCAGUAUAUGAGGAAAUCAGGUGCACUGGACUGAGGGGAACAAGGUUAUUGAGUAUGCACGGUUGUCAUAACCUUUACUUAUGAUGAGGAUUACCUUUAGGAUGAAUGGUUUUUGUCUGCAUGAUGACUCAUGGUUUGACAUCACAUCUGCCUGAGAACUGUUACUACUGUGAAAAAGUAAGCAUGAGUAGACUUGAUCUACCUGUGCUAACAGAUGCAAACAGUGUACCCUUACGGUUCUAUAGGUAAUGCAUCGUAUUCAGGGCUCGACAGUGCGACCAUUUCACUUGCAUUUGUGACUAAAAAUAAAUGUGUGCGAAUUGUAUAAUGUAUUUAGGGGUACAUGUGCGCAUUAAAAAAACUCGCUGAGGCAACAAAAGUUUUUUCAUGUAAAUACCAUGGUGAAGUUAGUUUUAGGUUAGAUAUUAGAUGGACAUUCACUGUGGAGCUACCAGUGUCUUCCCACUCUUCAUAACCAGUUAUAGCAACAGCAGCGUGGUUAAAUCUACUCGGCACCCUCGCAUUCAACGUCCGGUGUUGAAUAAGGGACCAUCAAUAAAUUACCGGUUGAUGUUCUCAGAAAAGGCUGUUUUCCUUUAAUAGCUUCCAUGUCAUGUGACCCAUUGACCUAAAAUUAUUUUCAAAUAAUAGUACUAAUGUCGACCAAUAAGACACACCUCUUUUUUUCCUUAAUUUGUCCUCAUAAUUUUUUGUGUUAAAUUUAAAGGCAAAUUUUGAACAUUUUCUUCAAUAGCUUCCAUGUCAUGUGACCAGAAGAUCUAAAAUUAAUUUCAAAUAAUAGUAUUUACAUCAACCAAUAAGAGCCCUGGUAUUGUAAAACAACACUUCUAAGGUCUUGUACAUUUAACACCUGUGAGGGAAAUGCAUCACCCAACUACACAUACAAAUGUAUCCUCACUUCUUCAAGGCCAAUAAAAAUCAACAGAUGAAAGACUCCAAACAUGAGUUUUAAGUGCUGGACAAGCUGAAGUGCAUCACUACCAGCGCUUCUCCUCUCGAAACAGCCUGACACAGGAUACACAUAUCAUACACACACUUUGCUUAUUCCCUCACACCUGAACCCAUACGUACAUAAAUAGGCCAGAACAAGUUGCCAUUUCUCCCAUGGUUUCCUCUCAUUGUGCUCUGCCAUUAUAAUAUCCAGCCACUUCAUUAAAUCUAUGUUGAUGCCUCUACUGACCCCGUUCUUGUUCCCCCAACUCUCCCCCUUCCCCACCAUCAUUUCCAUGUACGGUGCCCUCAGGGAGGAAAAGGAGUAAUUAGCAUGCUGAUACACAAGCCACUCGUGUUGCCAUAACUAGUUAAAAAGCUAUUUCCACCUCUUGCUACGUUGGCUGAGCCCUGAAGAAGCCUUUGUGGUGCGCGUGUGUGGGGGUGUAUGUGCACGUGUGUGUGUGCUCCAGUGUGUCUCAUAAUGAGGCUGACGUAUCACAGCAGUACAUACUGUUCUUGUCACAUUGAAAGGUAUAACGCUGAUGACAGAUGCUCGCACUAUGUGGUCUAGCACUGACUCAGUCUCUAAUACGUGUCUGUCUGUCUUUUAGUCUCUCUCUUCAUGGGUGCGUGGGGUUGCAUGGUUACAUAAGAAUGCACACACAGAUUCCUGGGAUCUGUUCGUUUGUGUGAGAAAAAGGAGCGAGGGAGCGUUACCAUGACGAUGGCAUUAGAAACCAACCUUACAUCAAACCAUGUGUAUAUUUGUGCCUUUCUCUGGUGCUCUUUUAUUUUUUGAGUGAGUGCGCCUGCUUUCAGACUGUUGCUUUAGAGACAAACUGGAGGAAUACAGGCCCCUAGUGCAAAAACGAAGGAGAGGAGGAAAUUCAUGCUGAGGGGAAGUGUUGGAGCACAGAGGACAGAUCUGCUGGUCAAAAAUGAAACUUGGAAAAGGCAGGACAGGGAGGAAAAACGAGGAUGCACGGGGAGUUAAUUAGAGGGAGGAAGAAGCUGAUUGUGGACCCAGAUGUUUCCAAAUUAUCUGUUGACAACCCCCUCCUCAUCUCUCCCUCUCCUUCAUGCCUUCAAAUUUGUCGUUUUGCCAAUACUGAGAGCAGCUCGUGCACCUCUGCCAAAGCUAUGAGUAAGCCGUGUGUGGGCUUCUGCAUGUGCCUGUUGGAGUGUGCUUGCCUGUGAGUGUGCUGGAGAGUGUUUGCAUAUAUUUUGACCAGACCUCCUCUGAUGAUCUGAUUAUUGGUUGGUUUUGUUAGGGCUCAAAUCCAUGUGUGACUCUCAACGUGGUUCACCUGCUCCUCCAUGACAGUUAGUUAAAGUCAAGAGUUCCCUUUGACUGUUGGGUUAAAAAAAAGAGGCUACUUAAAAUGCUCUUGAAAUGUUUUGGCAACCUCCAGAUAAUUACCUGGACAAAAUAUCAACCAUGAUUGGAUACAAUAAUAUCACAGAUGAUGACCAUCAGAUAAAUGCUGCAUGUCAGGACAUCACAAGUGAUCAGUACAGCCAGGGAAUGGGUACCUAGAUUCCAGCAGGAUCAGCACAUCUCAUUAGCUACAUAGAUCUUACCAAAAAAAUACAAGGAAAUAAUGAGGACUGUAUUCCCUCUUUAUCGAGAAUGAAAAAUAUACUGUGGUUGGAAAACUUUCCAAAGCAAAAGCCCAAUCUUUUUUUUUUUUUUUUUUCUGUGGAGAAACUCCCUGUUUUCACACAGUGCUUUUAUUCUGAAGUUGUGUCUUGGACAGUUGUUUGGUGGGGAAAGCUCUUCAUUUGAGUUUGCAGAAAACUCUGCUGGGAAAACAGUUGUCAUUAUUCGCAUUUGUUGCAGGUAAGCUAUUUUAAUUUUCUAAUAACAUCAGAAAAUAUUUAGCCUUUUGCAUCUCCCUCUGUGCCCCUUUAUAGCUAAACUAGUGUCAAUGUGUGAAACUAAAACCCAUUUAUAAAUCUCAGACAGCUGUUUAAAACCCCAAAGCA